GUGGCGCUUGGUGCUUGCGCUGGGUGGGAGAGACCGCCACAUGGCAUUAUUGGGGAGAGGAAAUCACCCUUGCCACCGCCUUGUCUGCUACGCAGGGAUACAUAGGCUGCUUCGUCGUUGUCAACACAGCCUACCAUACAUCGCCGCGGUUUCGACAAGUCACGUGGCAACGAAUAGUGCGAGCUAGCGCCAAAUCCCAUAGCCAAGCGGCGAUUGCCAGUACUACUACCCCGGUUCUGGGAGCAUUGCGGCUGUCCAGGUCUCUAGUAUAGUAGUAGGUCAUGGUACAUAUACCCAUAUACCUUGGCGAAUACUUUGGAAACCAUGGGGACCUUCGCAUAAGUGCAGGGAGUGAGGCGUGGAGACGGAGCUACUCCGAGGUGGUGCCGGACGCUGUGCCUGAGUCACUCCACCUUCUUCUAGAAGUGAGCGUGUUUCUGCCAAGUCUGUGUCGUGGCUCUGCAUAUCCAGCAUCACAUUUGGUCACUUCAACGCCACACAUAUGCAGGAAAAACAGGUGCUGCCCCCCGGGAGGAGCUCCUUCGCAGGCGCCGGCUGUCACCACCAGUGUGUACAGCCACACGUGGAACUGCCUCUGUGGGACCAUCUUGCUCGGAAGACGACACAACUUGCGCUACCACGACUUUUGAAGGCACCUCCCCCAGCGGUGAUCCAAGAACAGAUAUGUUGCUGCCAGCGCGAUGCCUAGAACACAAAAUUGUAAUAAAAAUAGUGGAAAAAAAAUAUAAAUAUAAAAAUAAGAAAUUAAAAUAGUGGGAAAAAAAGCAGUGUAACAACAUACUGAGGAUUUGAGGCCAUCCAGCAAAAAACACCGAAAGUGAGUGUUCUCAUUUAAACACUGUUGUGAACAGAUUUUCUGAACUCCAAAAAUUUUGACUUCUUGCCUGAGUGCUUGGUUUGUCAGACAACACAAUCUCUAGAAAACUACAUGCACUGUAGAACUGAGCCCAAUAUUUCAGAGUUGCUUUUCGGCGGUCGAGCUGAUGCAGUGCAUGGAGUCUUUCUGAGUGGGACCAAUGCUGUGGCUACUUCAUAGAAGUACAAGAAAUCAGUUGGCAAUUGUAUAUGGCCAGUAUGACUUCAUCAAAUACCAUAACUCCACCAAAACAGGAAUGGUGUAGACUGUUUACUGUAGAAUCCAGCUCUCUUUUUAUCAUUAUUAUUAUUUAUUGGAAAUGCAAGCUAACAGUUUUGCUGGUCUCAACAGCCAAACCCUAUAUCAAAGUUUUGAUGUUCAAAUUUGAUGAGAUCAAAAUUAAUUUAAAUACAUAUACAUUAGAGGUGUGCAAAUAUUCGAAAUUUCGAAUUGAAUAUUCGUACAAGUUUGAAUAUUUGAUUUUUUUCGAAUAUGAUAGAAGCUUAUUACAAAGCUGUUGCGAGCUGCACGCUGGCAUUUGUACGUUGUGGUUACAGUGACGAACACGUAGAGUAGAACAGCUGCAAAGCGAUGCGCAAGCUUUCAUCAGCGAAUGCGUCACUACACGUUCAGUAACCUGGCUGUUAGGAGAUACCUAUUUCACAUAGAUAGCCUGGACAGGAUGAACAAGCAGGAUUGCGUAACAUGUAGGAUUAUGUAAAUGUGGCCCUUCCCUUGUAGUCAUUUGCAGGUUUGCUGUAUGUGAAUGCUUUGUACUAUGUGCUUUUUGUAGAAAGACUAAAAACGUCAGCGUCACUGUGCGUUAUAGCCAUUUAUAGAUUUGUUGUAUGGGUAUGUGUUGUUUAUGCUAUACUAAAUCGUAUUUUGAGUGUUGCGGAACGACUAAAAAAUGUAUUGCUUUUUAUUGCCAGAGGUUGCUGUGUAAAACAUGUAAGAUGCAUAUGUUUUUAGGGUCGUACUAGCUUACGCUAUGAUCCGUAUGGUAUGUUACAGUACUUCAUCUGUUUAUGCUGGAAAACAAAAUAAAUGAAAUGAAAUUAAAUUAAAAAAUAAACAAAACCGAAACCAGUACAUGGUUGUGUGCAGCCGCAAUUUUAAAGUCCGCCCCAGCCAAACGUAAAACCACGGUAUGCUCCAUGCAUCGUCAGCACAGUCGCGGCUGAGGAUUGCCAACGAACUCUGAACAUUCGUGUGAGGCCCACAGUUCGGUGAAAUUGCUGAAAAAAAAGCUGAACACCGCUGUUCACUGUGCCACUGCACGCACAGCCAAAACCGCACGUCUUCAACACGUCUUUUCUGUUUUGAUUUGUGGUAGUCAGCGAUAUACACAGGGUGGGUGCUAUAAGAGGUCAGUCACAUUUUUGCGUGUGACGCUUUAUCUACUUGAGAGACAGGCUUCCGCUACCACACAGUAAAUAAUUUGUGCUAGACAAACGUACGAAAACAUCGUGGUUGCCAUGCACCGCGUAAAAAAAUUAAUACGGCCACACAAAUUUUCGUCUUCGUGCAUUUCCUAUGCACUAUACCAACGGAUGGGGACGAAAGUUUCUGUGGUCGUAUUUAUUUUGUUACACAGUGCUUUGUGACCACAAUUUUCUCGUAGGUUUCUCUCGCGUAAAUUCCUUACUCUGAGGCAACGGAAGUCUGUGCGUUAAAGAGAUAUCGGUCAAAGAAGCAUCACAUCACGCACGAAAGUGUGAGUGACCUUUCAGAGCAUCUGCCCGGUACAAUAGAAUAAUGGUCGCGUGCGAUGACAGCGAUAAUUGAAGAGUGGGACGUGAUGAUAUUUCAACAUAGUUUCUCCAACUCCGGUCACUAUGUGACCGUAUGUUUAAAGGGGCAAAUAGGAUGAUAAUAACGCUGCAAAGUCAUUUGAAAUUGCACUAAUGGCGAAUUUGGGUGGUCAUUUCGUGGCAACACGGCCUAGCGCUCGGAAAUUGCUAGGUCGGACGCCGAGCUGGAUCACGUUACCGUUGCCAGUCUUGGGUAGUAACUCAGUUACUUUUAACUUUUAACUGUAACUAGUUACAUUUCCAGGGAAGUAGCUUUUAACCGUAACUAGUUACUCUUUCUGUGAAUGUAACUGCAAGAUGUAACUAGUUACUCGAAUAAAGGUCGUUCCUUUUUUUUUUUCUUUACCCUACCUUCCCCUACUUCCUCCCGUUUAUCCGUAACCAGUAUGUUCCCCCUUGCCUUGGGCUCUCGACCGAGCAGGGUAUUCCAGCUUUGCGAACAGAAAUCAGUGAAGUUAGUGACCCUUAUUUAGCUAGUGGUAGUAGUUAGUGGAAGACUAUUUUUAUCGCACUUCAGAAAAUGUAGACAAAUGAACGUUUUUAACAAUAGUAUCACCCUGUCAUGGUCAUUUUUUAAAAAGUAGCUAUAAUGUAACUAAGUUACUUUCUCUCAGUAGCUGUACCUGUAAUUAGUUACUCGACCGAGAAAGUAACUGUAACUGUAACGUAGUUACUAUUUUUGGCAGAUAAAUUGUAACUGUAACCCAGUUACUUUUUAGAAGUAACUUACCCAAGACUGACCGUUGCCACUCGAACAUGAGUGCUAGGAAUCUAGUGGUUUUAGUUACUUGGAUCAUGCUAGGGGCAUCGCGGUCGCCCGUCUUCGAGUUCUGUCGUCUGCUAAACCACGUGAUUUCAACGUGCGGGCCAAUGUGGGCACUCACCACAGUGCAGUGCGGAUGUGACGACACCGGAUAUAGUUGGGCAACCCGCUGCUCGGUCAUGUUGAGACUGGGCAAAAAAAGUGCCAGCUGGCAAAUGUCGUGCGCUCGGAAAGCACCAUGCGAACAUGCAAGAUUGCUUCACUUUAACCGGGAUCUGGCAAAACAUGUUGCCACAAAAUGACCUCCCGAAUUCGCCAUAACUGUUGUUGGAGAUGAUAGCACACGACACAUAAUGCCUUAAGCCCGACCCGCAUGGAGCAAUUUUGCUCGCGACUCGCUCGGCGUGACAAAGUUUUGGGGUCGCAUGUAGAUUUUCGCCAUGAAAUGAAAGAAGUGCUGAACACGAACGGCGCGGAAACAAUCGCAUCGGAACGAUGGUCUCGCGUGUGACAGCACAGCGGAACAGUGCAGUUUCUCACCUAUGUGACAGAUGCACAAGGCAAUGUCAGUGCAAGAAGAGAGCACUUGCCACCUUCAUUUUCCUUCUAAAAUCUGCUCAUCAAUAAACCAUCCCGCAUUCUGAACAUGUCAUUGCCCUUUACUUCCAUUCUGUCUGUUUCACCAGCACUUACAAUGCCAACACAAAUGAAAUAUCUUUGAAGUUCAAGUUGCUUUUAGAAUUUUCAGCUUGCCCUAUGAGAAGAGCACAUUGUUUUAUUGUAAAAAUAAUUUUACUGUACAUGUGCAUACAGGCAUGUAUGCCCUAUGCUAGGCCAAUACAUUACCUAAUACAUACUAGUUAUUAGCAUUUGGGGCUUUUUUCUAAAGACCUACAGAACACAACAGUGAUCAUGCUUGUUUUCAAGGCUUAAUUGUUACUCUUGGAAGCAUUUAUCUAGGGUUCCGCAUUUUCUAUGUUUAUUUUUGGGCGGAUUCAGCGUAUGUUUUUCAGUAUUUAUUGCUCUUCACGAAAUCGGUGUUUUUCCAUGUUUUUCCUGGCGUGAACACGGUUUACCCAACAGUUAUCGGCGAAUAGAAAUCGCAAUGCAAUUUCCGCACGACGCUCAUUCAACAUGGCAUUGUUCGCUGUGGUGGCGUUUUACAGCAAACGAAAAAGUAAGCAAACAUUUUUCACAACCAUCGUAUUUAUGUUUGGUUUUCUGAUCUUAAUCAACAACUUGCUGGGCAUGUGCAGAAGUUUAUCUCUGUUAUUGCUCCUGGAAUGUCCCUCUGUAUUAGAUUUUUUUUCGGUUAAAACCGAAUGAGGGGAAAUUUACCCGGCAUAUGUCUUUUGGAGUUUCUCAAUUAAAACCAAAAACACGGAACCCUACGUUUAUGCUAUGUCGUGAUAUUCGAUAUUUGAUUCGAUAUUUGAAGGACAAAUUUGCAGAUUUUCGUAUUCAAUUCGUAUUCGAAAAUUUCAAUAUUUGCACACCUAUAUAUAGAUUUGUGGCAUAUAGAGGAAGAGGCUGAGUAAUACGGCUCAGAUUCUCAUGCAUCAUUAAACCAUAUCAUUUUUAGAAGACCAGAUGUUCUCUGUUCAUGCAGCUCGUGCUAACCUGUUGAUGCGAAGGACUCUUGCAGAGCUGUCUGGACUACCAGCAUCUUGUGGAAGGCCCACAGUCAGGUGAACUGCAAAAGUAGAUGUCGCUAUCAAAAGCAGUUAAACACAUACAUACCUUCAUUUUGAAAAUUUGUGAUACCUUUUUGGGAACUUAAAUCGAAUUUUGUAAUUUUUCAUAGUGAAACACUGUUCACACAGUUUGUGUAACAUAGAAAUGCAAAUAUCCACUAAUCUUGGAAGUCUGCAUAUAUCUAACGCAAUAUCCGCAGUAGUUUGCACCAAAGCAACUGCAGCAGUUGACUACCUCUGCCAGUGUUACAAACAGAUCAUUAGAGCCUGAAGUUUUAGGGUUUUACCCGAUUCUUCCCAGAAUUUGCACCCCGAAUUGAAGGUUGCCUCUUUAGGGUGAAACCCGAUUUUUACCAGGCAAAUUGCCCUCUCUGGGAUGUCUGUAGGAAUGCACCAACUUACUUGUUUGGCAGAAAAAUGUAGUUACAUCACCGUUUGUACCAAAUCGCUACAGUUAGUUUGAAUAACGGAGCCCGAUUUCUCCCCGAUCUUAGCGCAAUGGAAGUUUUUUCACCCGAAUUCGCAUGAAUUUAGUGCACACGUUUAUUUACCCGAUUCUUACCCCCCGAAUUUAGAAAAAAAUAUUUACCGAAAACUUCAGGCUCUACAGAUCAUAUAAUCAAUUUGCCACUACAGUUAUCCCCCAGUCUCAGAAAGCAGUCAUAGCUUCUGGAAGCAUUAGUGUAGAGAAAACAGGACACGAGAGAUGAAGACGACACAUACAGGCCAUAGUCGUGGUUACGUCGGAUAUAAGCAGAGCCGGAUCUCUUCGUGUUGUUUCGGGUCAAAAUUUGGGGAACAAGAAGACCUGGUAGAAUCAGGUGAAAUGUCUUUCUCAAGCUUGAUUAAAAAAAGGAAGUCUAUUUCCCUCAGCAGGGGUAAAAUUGCAAAAAAGAAAGAUGUCUUACGACUCUGCGGUAGCAAUCUGCUGCCGUGUACCAGCCAAGUGGUGGAAAAGGAGAAGUGAUACAAAGGCGAGAGGAAGAUGAAAAAAUAAAACAAGAAGGGGCAGUCUGGAGCACUGGGGCCUGGAGCACUGGAGUCUGAGGCACUGCUUCCACUUCGAAGGCAGAUUAAUGAAAGUGCUGUAGAAGCAAGCACUGAAUACCUGACUGAAGAAGAUAAAGUUGCCCAGCACUACAAUGUCAUCACCUGAGAGUGCCUUCUUCAUGCAUGUACUGUCCAAACUCCAAUUUCAAUUGCUCACUACAAUCCGAGAUUAGAGAAAGCAGUGCUUCGUAGUCAUCAAAAGUACCUGUCGUGGAAGCUAUGAAUGACUAAUACAGCACAGCAGCUUCUCUCAAAAUUCCCAUCUGGGAAGGCAUGCAUAUAGUGCCAAGCGAGUUCCUACUUGUGGUGUUACUCCAUUUGGUAAGCAAGUGAUCAGAAAAGGUACAACAGGUCACUUUCACAGUCAUCCAUACGUCUUGAUAAAAUUGCCAAUUCUUAUCACAUCAGGUUUUGUCCGAAAACAUCCAGCUCUAGACAUAAAUCUCAUCUACAACCUUCAUGGAUCUUCAUUUGAUAGUUGCAUAGGUUCUCCAUACUAUUCCCAUAUGUCCCCUGCAGUAAUAAGAGCUGAUGAUGCAUUGUGGUACCAGUGAUACACCUGAAGCCCAAACAUCCACAGUGAGAACAAAUGGGGAUGUUCUGAUAACGAAUCAGUUACGAGCCACACGGCUCGUGCAUGGGUUAAUUUUGCCCAACUGAGGGUUCCUUCAGAAGUGCUCAAAUUUCAGCGCACUGAAUUUAUGAAUGAGAUGACGUAGAGAUGAAUCGCCAUUCAGAGCACACAGUUGGGCAUUGGCAAGGUUUAAGUGCUGUGUUCGCUUUUAGCUUGUGUGUGUCCUUUCAGAGUACCACUGGCCACAGCUGUUACUAUGUUCCUUUUUACGGUGGUAACGGCAUCAGUAAGGUUUCGCAGCCUUGACGGUGAUUACAGCGAGCGUAGCAUAAAUGAUAUGAUGUCACAACAUCAUGUGGUACAGUUGACGUCACCAAUGACAUCACACCACCUGCAGCACCGCCAUUCGCUGGUACAGUAGUCAAUCGCAACACAGGGAGAGAGAAAUAAACCAUGAGCUGCGCGCUUGUCGUCAUUGUACUAGGCUCCUCACAAUGGGGUGGCCAUGCAAAGGGUGCAUGCCAUCUGAAAGGGAGAGUGAGAAGUGCACCACGCUGCUGCUGCUCCUGAGUGGCGGCAUACAUAGAAAGCUCCACGCGCAGCGAAUAGGAGCAGGUGUGAACAUUCCCACGUGGUUACAGUGCCUUGCAUUACCAGCAUAAAUUACUGAUCAUAAAGGUUCGUUGUUGCCCUUUGAAGAAAGCAAGUGUGAAAACAGUUGCUUCUGUGUGUGCUGAAAACAAUGCACGCCAUUGUGCGAAGAUGACACAGCUAUCGCUGUCACUUAUUUGCACGUUUGAGACAAAAAGGCAUGUUUUCAUCAAAUAUUAUGUAAAUAAAUUAUGUGGUGUGAAGUAAACACCCUCUUACUUGGAGCAGGACAGGUUGGACCAUUUAACGCUUCUACCAAGGGUACAACUUCAUAGCCUGGAGGCACGUCAACGCAUGCCUGAAAGAGAAGACACAAUAUGUCAAAAUUUAUAUGUACUUGUGUAGGUGCAAGACCUUUAUCUCUCCCAUUAGAUGUGAAUUGUUUUGUACAUGACCAACAUCACGUGUGGACCAAUGUUCAUACCCUGGAAUGAAACCUCUAUAAUUGGACUUAGUUCAGUGUUGCUUGGCUGUUGGAAGUUAGUGUGUGUUAAGUGGUUAGAACUGAGAUUGUUGACCCAGUUUCCAUUUCUGUAGUAUGCUUUGUUUAUGCCCUCCAUGCUCUAUGCCCACACUUCGAUUAAGUGACUGGAGGUGCAAGGAUAGCGAUAUUUUAUCGGAAAAACUUGCUGCUGAUGAGAAAUAAUGUUCGUGUGUGAUCUGCAGUCACAACAAUGUGAGCACUCUUACACUGCUUUUAAGAACAUUGUGCCACAUGUGUACUCUAUGUUUACAUUAUGUUAGUGUUUUAAAGAUGCAGACAAGUUCUGCCUCAAAAUGUAUUAGAAUCAUGCUUAGAAGUUUUGAGCACCACUAUCCAAAUUGAAGUUGAUGCCCGAUAGCUAUUCUAUACCAAAAAGAAAAAAUACUGCUCAUAGGAUGAAUAUGUGGUUACUCCACAGAGCAACGGACAACAAAUAAAACCCUUUUUGUGAGUUUCAGAACUUUAGUAUGACCAGAAAAACACUUUGUGGAUUUUCUAGUUCACAGUUUACAAUUCUUCACGUCCACUUUUGUAGAUACUCGAAUAAUGCUGCCUCUCAUUUUAUGUGCUUGUGAUUUACAUAUAAAUAAAGCUGAGCAAAACUGCC